CGAGGGGUGCAAGCGUUGCUCGGAAUUAUUGGGCGUAAAGGGUAGGUAGGUGGUCUCGUUUGUCUGGGGUGAAAGCCUUGAGCUUAACUCAAGAAGUGCCUCGGAAACGGCGAGACUGGAGUCUUGGAGAGGGUCGUGGAAUUCCCGGUGUAGCGGUGAAAUGCGUAGAGAUCGGGAGGAACACCAGAGGCGAAGGCGGCGACCUGGACAAGUACUGACACUCAACUACGAAAGCGUGGGGAGCAAACAGGAUUAGAUACCCUGGUAGUCCACGCUGUAAACGAUGGGUACUAGGUUUGGUGGGUCUUGACCCCCGCUGAACCGGCGCUAACGCAAUAAGUACCCCGCCUGGGAAGUACGGUCGCAAGACUA
rnacentral:rRNA from 1 species